CUAAUUCAGGGAGGUAGUGACAAAAAAUAACAAUAGCGGGCCUUUUUAGGUCUGCUUUUUGGAAUGAGAGCAAUUUAAAAACCUCAUCGAGGAUCCAUUGGAGGGCAAGUCUGGUGCCAGCAGCCGCGGUAAUUCCAGCUCCAAUAGCGUAUAUUUAAGUUGUUGCAGUUAAAAAGCUCGUAGUUGGAUUUCGGGUGUGAACGACCGGUCCGUCUUUGAUGUGUACUGGUUGGUUGCGCCUUAUUGUCGAGGACGUGGUUCUAGCUUUCAUUAGCCGGGACACGGAGUCGGCAGCGUUACUUUGAGAAAAUUAGAGUGUUCAAAGCAGGCUAUCGCUCUGAAUACUACAGCAUGGAAUAACACGAUAGGACUCCGAGCCUAUUCUGUUGGUCUUCGGGACCGGAGUAAUGAUUAAGAGGGACAGUUGGGGGCAUUCGUAUUCCGAUGUCAGAGGUGAAAUUCUUGGAUUAUCGGAAGACGAACAUCUGCGAAAGCAUUUGCCAAG
rnacentral:rRNA from 1 species